rnacentral:rRNA from 1 species
CGGCAGGCCUAACACAUGCAAGUCGAACGCCGUAGCAAUACGGAGUGGCAGACGGGUGAGUAACACGUGGGAACGUACCUUUCGGUUCGGAAUAACUCAGGGAAACUUGAGCUAAUACCGGAUACGUGCGAGAGCAGAAAGAUUUAUCGCCGAAAGAUCGGCCCGCGUCCGAUUAGCUAGUUGGUGAGGUAAUGGCUCACCAAGGCGACGAUCGGUAGCUGGUCUGAGAGGAUGAUCAGCCACACUGGGACUGAGACACGGCCCAGACUCCUACGGGAGGCAGCAGUGGGGAAUAUUGGACAAUGGGCGAAAGCCUGAUCCAGCCAUGCCGCGUGAGUGAUGAAGGCCUUAGGGUUGUAAAGCUCUUUCGCCAGGGACGAUAAUGACGGUACCUGGAUAAGAAGCCCCGGCUAACUUCGUG